rnacentral:tRNA from 1 species
GCCGAAAUAGCUCAGUUGGGAGGGCGUUAGACUGAAGAUCUAAAGGUCCCUGGUUCGAUCCAGGGUUUCGGCA